rnacentral:rRNA from 1 species
UGGGGAAUUUUCCGCAAUGGGCGAAAGCCUGACGGAGCAAGACCGCGUGAGGGAUGAAGGCCUUUGGGUUGUAAACCUCUUUUCUCAGGGAAGAACGCAAUGACGGUAGCCUGAUGGAAAUAUGCCU